UAUUCCGUGGCAAGAUGAGCACUAAGGAGGUUGAUGAGCAAAUGAUUAAUGUCCAGAACAAGAACUCGUCCUACUUUGUGGAGUGGAUCCCCAACAACGUCAAGUCCAGUGUUUGUGAUAUCCCUCCACGUGGCCUCUCCAUGGCCUCCACCUUCAUUGGCAACUCCACCUCCAUCCAGGAGAUGUUCCGCCGUGUGAGCGAGCAGUUCACUGCUAUGUUCAGGCGGAAGGCUUUCUUGCAUUGGUACACUGAUGAGGGCAUGGAUGAGAUGGAGUUCACCGAAGCUGAGAGCAACAUGAACGAUCUGGUGUCCGAGUACCACCAGUACCAAGAUGCCACUGCUGACGAGGAGGCAGAAUACGAGGACGAGGAGGCCAUCCAAGACGAGUAAGUGUGGU